CAGAACGACGCUGGCGGCGCGCCUAAUACAUGCAAGUCGAGCGAGAAGGUGUAGCAAUACACUUGUAAAGCGGCGAACGGGUGAGGAAUACAUGGGUAAUCUACCAUCGAGUGGGGAAUAACCAGCCGAAAGGUUGGCUAAUACCGCGUACGCUUCCGAGUCUUCGGGCUUGGAAGGAAAGCCGCACUGUGAGUGCGGCGCUCUUUGAUGAGCUCAUGUCCUAUCAGCUUGUUGGUAGGGUAACGGCCUACCAAGGCUUUGACGGGUAGCUGGUCUGAGAGGACGAUCAGCCACACUGGCACUGCGACACGGGCCAGACUCCUACGGGAGGCAGCAGUAAGGAAUAUUGCGCAAUGGGCGAAAGCCUGACGCAGCGACGCCGCGUGGGGGAUGAAGGUCUUCGGAUUGUAAACCCCUUUCGGGAGGGAAGAUGGAGCGAGCAAUCGUUCGGACGGUACCUCCAGAAGCAGCCACGGCCAACUUCGUG
rnacentral:rRNA from 1 species